AUUGAACGCUGGCGGCUGGCCUAACACAUGCAAGUCGAACGAGUGGCGGACGGGUGAGUAAUGUCUGGGAAACUGCCUGAUGGAGGUGGAUAACUACUGGAAACGGUAGCUAAUACCGCAUACCAUCAGAUGUGCCCAGAUGGGAUUAGCUAGUUGGUGGGGUAACGGCUCACCAAGGCUACGAUCCCUAGCUGGUCUGAGAGGAUGACCAUCCACCCUGGAACUGAGACACGGUCCAGACUCCUACGGGAGGCAGCAGUGGGGAAUAUGGCACAAUGGGCGCAAGGCUGAUGCAGCCAUGCCGCGUGGAUGAAGAAGGCCUUCGAGUUGUAAAGUACUGUCAGCGGGGAGGCGUUACCCGCAGAAGAGGCACCGGAUAAAUCCGGGCCAGCAGCCGCGGUAAUAC
rnacentral:rRNA from 1 species